rnacentral:rRNA from 1 species
GUACACGCUGUGACUAGCAUAUCAAUAAGCGGAGGAAAAGAAACUAACAAGGAUUCCCCUAGUAACGGCGAGUGAAGCGGGAAGAGCUCAAAUUUGAAAUCUUAAAGGGUUUCCCUUUACGAAUUGUAGUUUAAAGAAGUGUUUUCUGUUGAGGUUUUGGUAAAAGUUCUUUGGAAUAGGACAUCAUAGAGGGUGAGAAUCCCGUAUUUGACCUUUACUUUCAACUUUGUGAUACACUUUCAAAGAGUCGGAUUGUUUGGGAAUGCAGUCCAAAAUGGGUGGUAAAUUUCAUCUAAAGCUAAAUAUUGGCGAGAGACCGAUAGCGAACAAGUACCGUGAGGGAAAGAUGAAAAGAACUUUGAAAAGAGAGUUAAACAGUACGUGAAAUUGUCAAAAGGGAAGCGUUUGACACCAGUGUUGUUUUUCUGAAAAUCAAUUAAAGAACUGUUUAUGCUAAGUUGUUUAGACUUUAUCAGCUAUCUGUUUAGUUUUGAGCUUUUCUUUAAUGCACUUUUCAGUUAACAAGUCAACAUCAAUUUCUUUUGCUGUAAAAAAGCUUGAGGAAGGGUGGCUUGAGAUUCGUCUUAAGUGUUUAUAGCCUCUUGCCUAUGCAGUCGGAGAGAUUGAGGUCUGCAGCGUAGAUCCUUCGGGGCUAAAUGCAUUUGUGCUAAGUUAUAGCAUUUUAUAGACAACUUGUUGACUAUGAUUUGUCUUGUAGCUUACUCGCUUAUGUUAUUUUACCUACGCUUAGGAUGUUGAAUCUGUGCGAGACUAC